GACGUAGGGCGCGAGCGUUGUCCGGAUUUAUUGGGCGUAAAGAGCUCGUAGGCGGCUUGUCGCGUCGAUCGUGAAAACUUGUGGCUCAACUACAAGCUGGCGGUCGAUACGGGCAGGCUGGAGUUCGGUAGGGGAGACUGGAAUUCCUGGUGUAGCGGUGAAAUGCGCAGAUAUCAGGAGGAACACCGGUGGCGGAAAGGCG
rnacentral:rRNA from 1 species